rnacentral:rRNA from 1 species
GAUGAACGCUGGCGGUAUGCUUAACACAUGCAAGUCGAACGGACUCCUCGGAGUUAGUGGCGGACGGGUGAGUAACGCGUGAGAAUCUGGCUUUGGGUUCGGGACAACCACUGGAAACGGUGGCUAAUACCGGAUGUGCCGAGAGGUAAAAGAGAAAUUGCCUGAAGAUGAGCUCGCGUCUGAUUAGCUAGUUGGUGAGGUAAAGGCUCACCAAGGCAGCGAUCAGUAGCUGGUCUGAGAGGAUGACCAGCCACACUGGGACUGAGACACGGCCCAGACUCCUACGGGAGGCAGCAGUGGGGAAUUUUCCGCAAUGGGCGAAAGCCUGACGGAGCAAUACCGCGUGAGGGAAGAAGGCUCUUGGGUUGUAAACCUCUUUUCUUAGGGAAGAACAAAAUGACGGUACCUAAGGAAUCAGCAUCGGCUAACUCCGUG